rnacentral:rRNA from 1 species
UACGUAGGGGGCGAGCGUUGUCCGGAUUUAUUGGGCGUAAAGAGCGUGUAGGCGGCUUGGUAGGUCUCGCGUCAAAACCUGAGGCUCAACCUCAGUUCGCGUGGGAAACCACCUAGCUAGAGUCCGGAAGAGGAGAACGGAAUUCCCAGUGUAGCGGUGAAAUGCGCAGAUAUUGGGAAGAACACCAGUGGCGAAGGCGGUUCUCUGGGACGGUACUGACGCUGAGACGCGAAAGCGUGGGGAGCAAACAGG